rnacentral:rRNA from 1 species
CCUACGGGAGGCAGCAGUAAGGAAUAUUGGUCAAUGGGCGCAAGCCUGAACCAGCCAUGCCGCGUGCAGGAAGACGGCCCUAUGGGUUGUAAACUGCUUUUGAACAAGAGAAAACCUCGGUACGUGUACCGAGCUGAUAGUAUUGUUAGAAUAAGCAUCGGCUAACUUCGUGCCAGCAGCCGCGGUAAGACGAAGGAUGCAAGCGUUAUCCGGAUUCAUUGGGUUUAAAGGGUGCGUAGGCGGCCUGAUAAGUCAGUGGUGAAAUCUCUCAGCUUAACUGAGAAACUGCCAUUGAUACUGUCGGGCUUGAGUACAGAUGAUGUGGGCGGAAUAUGACAUGUAGUGGUGAAAUACUUAGAUAUGUCAUAGAACACCGAUUGCGAAGGCAGCUCACAAAACUGUAACUGACGCUGAGGCACGAAAGUGGNGGAGACAACAGAGUAGUAUACCUACGUAGUCGCGACCGUAACGUACUAGUAUUACUUCGUUGUUGGUCGAUA